GAUUUUUUUCAAAGAAAUUGAUAAGAGAAACAGCAACCCACUAUCACUACUCUGUUGUCAUUUCCUUCAAUACAACACGAGCAAUUCUUUCAAUUAAUUCUUCUGUUACCACCGUAAGGGUCAACAACGAGUCACACCUACAAGCUUUCCUUCUCCUAAUCUUUUUAACAACCUUCGGUGGCGUCACAGAAGUUUCCCGUGAAGGUAGUUUUUCUUCCUUCUCUGUUACUACGACUUCAUUCGUUUCAUUGCCGGGCAGAAUCUCCUUUGUUUUCUCUGUUCGGUCAACUAUCAGAGGUCCAUCGCCAUUUUCUGUAACAUUCCUACUCACCACCGAUGUUUCCUUGAUGGUUUCAUGUGAAGGUAGUCUUUCUUCUUUCUCUGUUACAACAACAUUCGUUUCAUUGCCGGGCAGAAUCUCCUUUGUUUUCUCUGUUCGGUCAACUAUCAGAGGUCCAUCGCCAUUUUCUGUAACAUUCCUACUCUCCACAGAUGUUUCCUUGAUGGUUUCCUGUGAAGGUAGUUUUUCUUCUUUCUCUGUUACAACAACUUCAUUCGUUUUAUUGCCGGGCAGAAUCUCCUUUGUCUUCUCUGUUCGUUCUACUACCAGAGGUCCGUCGCCAUUCUCUGUAACAUUCCUACUCUCCACCGAUGUUUCCUUGAUGGUUUCAUGUGAAGGUAGUUUUUCUUCUUUCUCUGUAACAAUAAUUUCAUUCGUUUUAUUGCCGGGCAGAAUCUCCUUUGUUUUCUCUGUUCGGUCUACAACCAGAGGGCCAUCGUCAUUUUCUGUAACGUUCCUACUCUCCACAGAUGUUUCCUUAAUGGUUUCUCGUGAAGGUAGUUUUUCUUCCUUCUCUGUUACUACAACUUCAUUCGUUUUAUUGCCGGGCAGAAUCUCCAUUGUUUUCUCUGUUCGUUCUACUACCAGAGGGCCAUCGUCAUUUUCUGUAACGUUCCUACUCUCCACAGAUGUCAUCGAAAUGCUUUCC